UCAUCAUUAUAUUUCAUUGCAUUCUUAAAAACUAACCUCACAUCAGCACACAUCUCCCUAACAUUCUUAUACCCAGUACCAUCCUUCGCCUCCAUUUGAUUUUUUAUGGUACUGAAGUCCAUGGGCUUAUCAAUAACCUCAUAAUAGUCAUCUAAGCCAAGACCUUUGACAUCUACAGGUUGCAUAAAGGGCCAAGCCCACUUGUGCUGUGUGAUCUGGCGCAGUAUUGUGCCAAAUUGGCGCAUAAGCUCUUGCAUUCUCUUUCCAGCAGCUGCCUCCCUUUUCGAUGCAUCUUGUUGCUGCUUCCUUAUGCUAGGUACGUGUCUCUCCUUGUCUUUAUCCUUCACAAUCGAGCUACCUUUUGAACCUCCAGUCUGUUGCUUUUUGCUUACAUUCAAGUAAAACUGUUCAACCUCAUUUACUCUUUGCUCCAGCUUAUCAACCUUGUUGAAAAGUUCAUCAACACGAUGCUUGAAACCC
rnacentral:misc_RNA from 1 species